rnacentral:rRNA from 1 species
UACAGAGGGUGCAAGCGUUAAUCGGAGUUACUGGGCGUAAAGGGCGCGUAGGCGGUUUAGUAAGUUUGAUGUGAAAUCCCUGGGCUUAACCUAGGAACUGCAUCGAUGACUGUUAAGCUAGAGUAUUGUAGAGGGUAGUGGAAUUUCCGGUGUAGCGGUGAAAUGCGUAGAGAUCGGAAGGAACACCAGUGGCGAAGGCGGCUACCUGGACAAAUACUGACGCUGAGGCGCGAAAGCGUGGGGAGCAAACAGG